UGGCUCAGUGGCAGAGCACUUGCCUAGCAUGCAUGAUGCCUUGAGUUCAACCCUCAA
rnacentral:tRNA from 1 species